AAGAUUCUGCAUGAAUAGAUUGGGUCUAAACUUGUAUUAAUUCCGUCAAUUACAAGGAAAGAUGUUUGGCUGACAGAGAUCAGCCUGGUUUUGAGAUCUACAGUAGCCGCUCAUAUAAGCAGCCCUAAAUUAGAAUAUCUACAAUCCUGGAAAAAUUAUUGUGGUCAGUGUGCGCAAAAAUACAAAUACCUGCCUUGCCCAAACAUACGUGCAAAAACAGCAUUUUUUAACUGUUGAAAAGCUUCUAGAUCGGUUAGGCGAAAGCUCUGUGACUGAUAGGGGAGAUGAAGAUGCCAAUAUGUGUAUGUGAACAGUAAUACUUUAAUCGUUCAC